UGAGCAACCUGCCCUUGACUCUGGAAUAACAGCUGGAAACAGCUGCUAAUACCGGAUACGACCUCCGAUGGCAUCAUCUGGAAGUGGAAAGCUCCGACGGUCAAGGAUGGGCUCGCGGCCUAUCAGCUUGUUGGUGAGGUAACGGCUCACCAAGGCUUCGACGGGUAGCCGGCCUGAGAGGCGACCGGCCACACUGGGACUGAGAUACCGGCCCAGACCUCUACGGGA
rnacentral:rRNA from 1 species